GUCAUUUUCCCUGGGGAAUAUGAUGGGCUGCGGCUCAAGUCCUUGUUGCUGCUCUGGUCUUUGAGCUACCUUUUCUUCCAUCUGUGGAGUUUCUCCCUAACAGUGAGCUGUACCAUUCCAUGGACUGAGAGCCUACAUUGAAAACUAAGGUCAACUCUCUUGUCUCCAACCACCAUCUCAGAUAGUUGUGCUGGGAUUACAGAAAACUGCCACAUUACUUAUGGCUUCUUAUAU